GAUGAACGCUGGCGGCGUGCUUAACACAUGCAAGUCGAGCGAGUGAGUUCUUCGGAACGAUCUAGCGGCGGACGGGUGAGUAACACGUGGGCAACCUGCCUCAUAGAGGGGAAUAGCCUCCCGAAAGGGAGAUUAAUACCGCAUAAAAUUAUCGAGUGGCAUCACAUGAUAAUCAAAGGAGUAAUCCGCUAUGAGAUGGGCCCGCGGCGCAUUAGCUAGUUGGUGAGGUAACGGCUCACCAAGGCAACGAUGCUUAGCCGACCUGGGAGGGUGCUCGGCUACAUUGGGACUGAGACACGGCCCAAACUCCCACGGGAGGCAGCAGUGGGGAAUAUUGCACAAUGGGGGAAACCCUGAUGCAGCAACGCCGCGUGAGUGAUGAAGGUCUUCGGAUUGUAAAGCUCUGUCUUUGGGGACGAUAAUGACGGUACCCAAGGAGGAAGCCACGGCUAACUACGUGCCAGCCGCCGCAGUAA
rnacentral:rRNA from 1 species